rnacentral:rRNA from 1 species
GAAACUGCGAAUGGCUCAUUAAAUCAGUUAUCGUUUAUUUGAUAGUACCCUACUACAUGGAUACCUGUGGUAAUUCUAGAGCUAAUACAUGCGCAAAACCCCGACUUCGGAAGGGGUGUAUUUAUUAGAUAAAAAACCAAUGCCCUUCGGGGCUCCUUGGUGAUUCAUAAUAACUUCACGAAUCGCAUGGCCUUGCGCCGGCGAUGGUUCAUUCAAAUUUCUGCCCUAUCAACUUUCGAUGGUAGGAUAGUGGCCUACCAUGGUGGCAACGGGUAACGGGGAAUUAGGGUUCGAUUCCGGAGAGGGAGCCUGAGAAACGGCUACCACAUCCAAGGAAGGCAGCAGGCGCGCAAAUUACCCAAUCCCGAUACGGGGAGGUAGUGACAAUAAAUACUGAUACAGGGCUCUUUUGGGUCUUGUAAUUGGAAUGAGAACAAUCUAAAUCCCUUAACGAGGAACAAUUGGAGGGCAAGUCUGGUGCCAGCAGCCGCGGUAAUUCCAGCUCCAAUAGCGUAUAUUAAAGUUGUUGCAGUUAAAAAGCUCGUAGUUGAACCUUGGGCCCGUCCUGCCGGUCCGCCUCAC